GCCUUUACUGACGCUAAAGCUCGAAGGUGCGGGUAUCGAACAGGAUUAGAUACCCUGGUAGUCCGCACGGUAAACGAUGGAUGCCCGCUGUUUGCGAUAUACUGUGAGCGGCCAAGAGAAAUCGUUAAGCAUCCCACCUGGGGAGUACGCCGGCAACGGUGAAACUCAAAGGAAUUGACGGGGGCCCGCACAAGCGGAGGAACAUGUGGUUUAAUUCGAUGAUACGCGAGGAACCUUACCCGGGCUUGAACUGCAGGCGAACGAUACAGAGAUGUUGAGGCCCUUCGGGGCGCCUGUGGAGGUGCUGCAUGGUUGUCGUCAGCUCGUGCCGUGAGGUGUCGGCUUAAGUGCCAUAACGAGCGCAACCCUUUUCAUUAGUUGCCAUCAGGUAAUGCUGGGCACUCUGGUGAUACUGCCACCGUAAGGUGUGAGGAAGGUGGGGAUGACGUCAAAUCAGCACGGCCCUUACGUCCGGGGCUACACACGUGUUACAAUGGGGGGUACAGAGAGUCGGAUGUACGCAAGUACAUUCUAAUCCUAAAAGCCUUCCUCAGUUCGGAUUGGGGUCUGCAACCCGACCCCAUGAAGCUGGAUUCGCUAG
rnacentral:rRNA from 1 species